rnacentral:sRNA from 1 species
GCUGGGUGUGGUGGCACACGCCUGUAAUCCCAGAGGCUUGGGAGGCUGAGGCAGGAGGAUUACAAAUUCAAAGCCAGCCUCAGCAAUGAUGAGGCACUAAGCAACUCAGUGAGACCCUGUCUCUA